ACACCACCUCUCUUUCUCGAGCGAUUUUAGUGACGAUUUGUGAGCGGAAACAUCGAGUAAGCUGGUAACAGUUAACCUCGGUGUUUACAGCUAUAAUAUAAAUGUACAUAUAAAUAUAUACAUAUAUGAAUGUUUCUUUUUGUUAUUCUUCAAAGUGUUAAAUAGCAGUGUGACGGAUAUGAAGCUAUUAGUAUAUUUUCAGAAGGUAUUGCUUAUCAUUUCCUGACACGAGUGUUCAUGAUCAACCAAAAUAUUUAUUUUUGAAAAUUAUUAAUUUAUAAAGUGUAAGAAAGCCGACUAUUUACAGAGAGUGUUGUUCUCGCUCCUGAGUGGAGGAGGAUCAGGCGGUGCAGACACACGGGAUUAUUUAGCGAUCAAUGGUGUUGAUGCAGUGAUCAAAUCCUUUGUAAGUACACAGACACGCAGUAAAGAGCUCUUAAGCACGGCCUCAUCUAACUCAACCUAGGUCUAUAUUCAGAAAGGUUUAUAUUCAGAAAGAGUGUGAAAAGGUGCGUUAAGUGCUAUAUACAAUCUUCCAAGCUCGUGUCAAUACAAAUAAAUAAAUAAACACGAACAAAAAAGUUGCAGGGAAGAUAACAAAGUUUAUUUCCAUGAUGAAAUUAACACAACUGUACGAUAAGACUGUGCGGCUGAUGCUGCUGCUGUUGCUGCUGCUGGUCUGCUGUCUGCUGAGCCCAGUCUCAUCUCAGCAGGACUCAACUAACGAGACUCAGGAGGAGGACGUGGAGGAGGUCCGUGUAGUGGUGGGGUUCAAUGCGUCUCUGCCUUGCAACGUGCGUGCCCCUGACCACGACGCUCCUAUCCUCACCCUCUGGUAUAUCGCCGACGUGGAGGCGCCAGUCUACAGUUACGACGAGAGACCCAUACAGCGCGGGUCCAGGUGGGCGGACCCGAAGGUGUUCGGGUCUCGGGCGUUCUUCCACGCCCAUAGUACGCCGCCCGCGCUUCUCCUUGCCCACGCCACUGUCGAAGACGGGCGACUCUACCGUUGCAGGGUCGACUUCCAGAACACCAGGUCGAGGAUGGCCUGGGUCAACCUCACAGUGGUCGUGCCACCCACCAAGACUGAAGUCAUCACGCGUGUAUCUCCGGUGAACUUGGGAGACAGAAACGACGUCAUUUGUAAGGCGUAUGGAGGUUCGCCCUCCCCCCAGGUGUUGUGGCUGCAGGAGGGGAAGCUGGUGGACAGUACCUACACCAUCGCGGGCAACGAGACCUACAACGUGCUGGAGGUAGAGGCCAGUCGAGGCGACCUGACCUCCCCCUUCUUGUGUAGGGCGACUAACAACGAUCGUACCGGGCCAGACGAAGUCGAAUAUCUCAGGAACGUGACCUGCGGCCCCCUCACUGUGACCAUCACAGGGGAGGAGGAACCCAUAGCUGAGGGCCGCACCGCCACCAUCACCUGCACCGUGUUAGGCAGUAACCCACCUGCCCUCGUCACCUGGUACCAGCAGGGACAGAUGAUCAAGCCCUUACAUACUAUGGUAAGUCAUCGGGACAACGUUACGAGGAGUGUGUUGACGCUGAACGCUUCUCGCAGUGACCACGGCCGACAGAUGGUGUGUCGCGCCGAGAACAAACUCAUCCAAAACAACGCCCUUGAGGACAUCUUCACUCUAGACGUCCAGUAUAAACCAAUCUUGAGGAUGACCCUGGGGCGCAACCUUGACCAUGAUGACCUUCGGGAGGGCAAUGACCUUUUUUUCGACUGUAACAUCGACGCCAAUCCUGCCCCUUACAAGGUCGAGUGGUGGCAUGACGGAGAGUUGGUGAGCCACAACGUGAGCGGAGGGGUGCUGGUGAGCGAGUCCACCUUGGCCCUACAGAAAGUGCGGAGGGAGAAAUCCGGCCAGUACCAGUGUAGCGCCUCCAACGUGGAGGGUGACACCACCAGCGACCCCGUCAACAUCACCAUCAAAUACGCCCCCAGGUGCUCGGUGAGUCCUUCCCUGCGGGGUGUGGGCCUCCUGGAGCCCCUCAACGUCACCUGCUUGGUAGAUGCUGACCCUCCUGACGUCACCUUCUCGUGGACCUUCAACAACUCCGUCAGAAGGGAACAGAGUGAGGUGGUCAGCAACCAGAGGUACACGACAGAGAGGCUGAGGAGUGUACUGUUCUACACGCCAAUGACAGAGAGGGACUACGGCACCCUUCUCUGCCACGCCUCCAACUCCAUCGGCACCCAGAAGACUCCCUGUUCCUUCACUGUUAUCUCUGCCGGUCCACCGGAGGAGGUGACGGGGUGCACUGUCGAUAACGUUACUUCACACUCCAGCAGCAUCGUUUGCUCUCCUGGCUUCAACGGAGGCCUCCCACAGAUGUUCCUUCUUCAGGUAUGGAAAGAGGAGCCGCCUAAAGUGGACGAGUUAGUGGUGAACAUAUCGCUGGCGCAGUCGGAGUUCCUGGUGAGGUCGCUGGUGCCAGGCCAUCACUACCGCUCUGAGGUUACCGCCCACAACGCCCGAGGUGCUGCCCCGCCCGUCACCCUCCACAUCCACACUCUCAAAGAGGCAGAGAUGCAUAAAAGUUUACCGUCACGCUCUGAACCCUCGCCGCUGAUGUUGGUGUUGGCGGUGAUCGGUGGUGCCUUGCUGGUGGUGGUGAUGCUGCUGGUGGGCGUGUGGGCAGUGCGAGGCCGGAGAAGACACUCUCACGCCCACAGAGAAAAUGUCCACAUACCCAUGAAGGAAUCUAACCCAGAUAUCCUAGAGGCCGCCCCUCAACCACCAACAUCAGCCCACACCAUUACCAUCAGCGUAAUCAAACAGCCACACCAAACAUAUGACGGGGAACCUUCUCCUCCUCCUCCUGACGUAGGCGCAGAGGAGCUGGGGAUGGGCAUGGGUCUUCGGCCAGGUCUACCCUCCCAGAAAACGGUCUUUGGAGCCUCCGAACCUUUACACAGACCAAUUGAAAAGAGUUUACAGACCCCCGUCUGCCACCCGUACGAUGAUGACCCUCCGUCUUCUCCAGAGGUCACUGAGAGGACUCAGCUCACAACAUCUACUAUAGACACCAGCUUGGGCAUCACCCUUGGGGUAGAAGCAGCCGCCAGGUCCAGCAGAAGACUACCGUAUUCCAGAACGCCUUUGUACGAGGAGCUGGAUAUAGGAUCUUCAACUUGCGUCCUGCAGCCACUGAUGCUUGGGAGCUCAGAGAGUGUUAUGUAAUCCCAAGACAUCGUACCAAGGGAAGGGAGUGACAUGAACUUCGUAAAUUGGCAGCGCGUAUCAUCCUGGGAAUAUCUCAGAAAAGGAAUAUACUUUGUCCACAAGUCUUCAAGGAGACAUGAAAAAGAACCAUGGAUGAUGACUUAGUGAUAGAGAUUUACCCCUUGUAAAUACUCAGUUCAUUUUGAUAAUAUACAUAAUAAAUUUAGGUCAGAAGACAAUAGCAUUGCAUCACCAUAUUUUUGUACACGAAUUUUUGAAGAUUAAACCUGUUGCUAUAAUUAUAAUGAAGGAUUAACUAGACAUUAUUUUCAUUGUAAUAUAUGUUUGUAUUUAGGUGCAAAUGCAUCCCCCCCCCC